rnacentral:rRNA from 1 species
GGGGAGCGUUCUGUAAGCCUGUGAAGGUGUGCUGUGAGGCAUGCUGGAGGUAUCAGAAGUGCGAAUGCUGACAUAAGUAACGAUAAAGCGGGUGAAAAGCCCGCUCGCCGGAAGACCAAGGGUUCCUGUCCAACGUUAAUCGGGGCAGGGUGAGUCGACCCCUAAGGCGAGGCCGAAAGGCGUAGUCGAUGGGAAACAGGUUAAUAUUCCUGUACUUGGUGUUACUGCGAAGGGGGGACGGAGAAGGCUAUGUUGGCCGGGCGACGGUUGUCCCGGUUUAAGCGUGUAGGCUGGUUUUCCAGGCAAAUCCGGAAAACUAAGGCUGAGGCGUGAUGACGAGGCACUACGGUGCUGAAGCAACAAAUGCCCUGCUUCCAGGAAAAGCCUCUAAGCAUCAGGUAACAUCAAAUCGUACCCCAAACCGACACAGGUGGUCAGGUAGAGAAUACCAAGGCGCUUGAGAGAACUCGGGUGAAGGAACUAGGCAAAAUGGUGCCGUAACUUCGGGAGAAGGCACGCUGAUAUGUAGGUGAAGUCCCUCGCGGAUGGAGCUGAAAUCAGUCGAAGAUACCAGCUGGCUGCAACUGUUUAUUAAAAACACAGCACUGUGCAAACACGAAAGUGGACGUAUACGGUGUGACGCCUGCCCGGUGCCGGAAGGUUAAUUGAUGGGGUCAGCGCAAGCGAAGCUCUUGAUCGAAGCCCCGGUAAACGGCGGCCGUAACUAUAACGGUCCUAAGGUAGCGAAAUUCCUUGUCGGGUAAGUUCCGACCUGCACGAAUGGCGUAAUGAUGGCCAGGCUGUCUCCACCCGAGACUCAGUGAAAUUGAACUCGCUGUGAAGAUGCAGUGUACCCGCGGCAAGACGGAAAGACCCCGUGAACCUUUACUAUAGCUUGACACUGAACAUUGAGCCUUGAUGUGUAGGAUAGGUGGGAGGCUUUGAAGUGUGGACGCCAGUCUGCAUGGAGCCGACCUUGAAAUACCACCCUUUAAUGUUUGAUGUUCUAACGUUGACCCGUAAUCCGGGUUGCGGACAGUGUCUGGUGGGUAGUUUGACUGGGGCGGUCUCCUCCUAAAGAGUAACGGAGGAGCACGAAGGUUGGCUAAUCCUGGUCGGACAUCAGGAGGUUAGUGCAAUGGCAUAAGCCAGCUUGACUGCGAGCGUGACGGCGCGAGCAGGUGCGAAAGCAGGUCAUAGUGAUCCGGUGGUUCUGAAUGGAAGGGCCAUCGCUCAACGGAUAAAAGGUACUCCGGGGAUAACAGGCUGAUACCGCCCAAGAGUUCAUAUCGACGGCGGUGUUUGGCACCUCGAUGUCGGCUCAUCACAUCCUGGGGCUGAAGUAGGUCCCAAGGGUAUGGCUGUUCGCCAUUUAAAGUGGUACGCGAGCUGGGUUUAGAACGUCGUGAGACAGUUCGGUCCCUAUCUGCCGUGGGCGCUGGAGAACUGAGGGGGGCUGCUCCUAGUACGAGAGGACCGGAGUGGACGCAUCACUGGUGUUCGGGUUGUCAUGCCAAUGGCACUGCCCGGUAGCUAAAUGCGGAAGAGAUAAGUGCUGAAAGCAUCUAAGCACGAAACUUGCCCCGAGAUGAGUUCUCCCUGACUCCUUGAGAGUCCUGAAGGAACGUUGAAG